CCUACGGGAGGCAGCAGUGAGGAAUAUUGGUCAAUGGCCGGAAGGCUGAACCAGCCAUGCCGCGUGAAGGUCAGUGCCCUAUGGGCGUUAAACUUCUUUUGUGCGGGAGCAAUAAUGGUCACGUGUGGCCAGACGAGAGUACCGUACGAAUAAGCAUCGGCUAACUCCGUGCCAGCAGCCGCGGUAAUACGGGGGAUGCAAGCGUUAUCCGGAUUUAUUGGGUUUAAAGGGUGCGUAGGCUGUGAGGUAAGUCAGCGGUGAAAUGCCCCCGCUCAACGGGGUGAAGUGCAAUUGAUACUGCCUGGCUGGAAUGCGGAUGCGGUGGGAGGAAUGUGUGGUGUAGCGGUGAAAUGCAUAGAUAUCACACAGAACACCGAUUGUGAAGGCAUCUCACGAAUCCGCGAUUGACGCUGAUGCACGAAAGCGUGGGUAUCAAACAGGAUUAGAUACCCUUGUAGUC
rnacentral:rRNA from 1 species